rnacentral:rRNA from 1 species
AGUGAACGCUGGCGGUAGGCCUAACACAUGCAAGUCGAACGGCAGCACAGUAAGAGCUUGCUCUUACGGGUGGCGGGUGGCGGACGGGUGAGGAAUACAUCGGAAUCUACUUUUUCGUGGGGGAUAACGUAGGGAAACUUACGCUAAUACCGCAUACGACCUACGGGUGAAAGCAGGGGAUCUUCGGACCUUGCGCGAUUGAAUGAGCCGAUGUCGGAUUAGCUAGUUGGCGGGGUAAAGGCCCACCAAGGCGACGAUCCGUAGCUGGUCUGAGAGGAUGAUCAGCCAUACUGGAACUGAGACACGGUCCAGACUCCUACGGGAGGCAGCAGUGGGGAAUAUUGGACAAUGGGCGCAAGCCUGAUCCAGCCAUACCGCGUGGGUGAAGAAGGCCUUCGGGUUGUAAAGCCCUUUUGUUGGGAAAGAAAAGCAGCAGGUUAAUACCCCGCUGUUCUGACGGUACCCAAAGAAUAAGCACCGGCUAACUUCGUG